rnacentral:snoRNA from 1 species
AUAUUAGGAUGAUCAAGUAAAUCAGUUCUGCUUCUGUAAUACAGCUGAAGAUAUCCAUUUACCAAAAGACACUUUCUAUUUCUGAUAC